rnacentral:misc_RNA from 1 species
AACGCAAAUUGCACUCCCUGGUAUUCCGGGGAGUAUGCCUGUUUGAGGGUCGUUAGAAUAAAAAUCGAGGCGUCGCUCUUUUUUUGAAGGGUGAUCGCGUCGGAAUUGAGCCGUCUUUCAAAUGUUAAUUCAUGUAAAGUGGCUUAAAAUUCAUCCAUCCGGUACGAUUAAAGCGUAUUUAAGAUCAAUUUUGAUUAAGAACGCGCGAUGACGUACCAUCUCAUGUAGUACGUUUGACUUGGCGUCGUCAGGAUCAUUCGUAUACGAUACUCAACUUUUGACCUCAAAUCAGGUAAGAAUACCCGCUGAACUUAA